GCUGGUUGCUGCCGCCAGACCUCUCCGAAGCCGCUCCAGACUCUCACCGGUCACCAACGCGGACAACACUGGACAAGAGAAGAGAGGAGGCCGCAAUAAGACCCUUUGCUUAGACCCCUCUCUACCACGCCAUCGAGGUCCACGCCCGCCCUUCAGGGCGCACGGGCCCCACCAAGUGGCCCGCUCGGCGGGUGGGGGGGCGCCGCAGCGACCUUCCCACGUGUCCCCCGCACGACGCCCACCCCACCCCCGACCUCGGAGACAUGAGCUCUUACCUGCGGCCAGAAAGAGCUUCAGCAUCACCGACGGCAGCAGCUUCAUGGUCCCGAGCCUGGCGGAGACGGGGAGGCAGCGAUCACUUUGGAUGCGGCGGCCACUGGACGCCUGCACCGGGGCCAGGCGGUGGAGGACAGCGAGGUUCCACUAAGGCACUGUCCGCUGCCUGCCUCUGGGUGAGAUCCUGUCUGGGAACCUUGCGGCCGCGGUUCGUCUGUCUGUUCAGAGUCGGUCCGCGCGUCCACUCCAGCCCUUGAAGGUCUGUCAGGCCGACCAGCCAGCCGCGUGCAGCUCCCCGGGCCGACUGAGCUCUCGCUCGCAGCGCGCGGCCGGGAAUAAGGCUCCGGGGAAGGAGUGGGAGCCCCGCCCCGCCCGGCACCGCCCCCUUCCCUCCCCCUCCCGCGCCGGGAAGCCAGCCCGGCUGGAGGCGCCGACAGCGCUGUCCCGGACUAGGCGGUCGCGGCGGGAGGACCCGGAGGCGCUCACAUUUUUUGGGACCAGGCCAGAGCAGCCGUGACUGGAGUGUGGGUGUAGGGUGAAUGACCAGCAGGUGGCGAAGACCGGAUCCUACCUUUCCUCCUACGCCGGUCUCGGUGCAGCCUAGCGAAAGGUGAUCUGAGAGCUGUUCCUGGCCUCUGCCCCUGCAUCUAUGACAAGUCCCCGCUCCACACUAGCUACACUCCCAGGCCUAGGUGUCUACAGUGAACUGCUGUGUCUUACAGACUUGGAUUGCUCUUUACCGUGUGAACUUGGACAAGAUAAUUCUUCGAGUUUUUUGGAAGAAGGUCCUUCCGCCUCACCACUGCGUCAGCUCAGCUUUGUUGGGGCAACUCCAGGCUUUCAUCACACCCAGGAGCCUCACCCUAUCCAGGUCUGUGUGUCAGGUUUUACAAGGAAGGGCCUGGAGAAAAGAAGGUGAACGACCUGAAAUGUAUUUAGGAUAGUCACUUCCCUUCCCAGAACUGCAGAGAACCUAGGACCGAAAGACUAAGCAAAAUAAAACAAAAUUACAGGCUGAGAAUACAACUGAGUGGUAGAGAGUUUGCCUGGCAUGUGAAAAGCCCUGGGUUCCAUCUUUAGUGUCUCAAAGAAAGAGAAAAAAGAAGAAUUAUCACCACCACGACCACCAGCAGCAGCAGCACCACCACCAACAGCAUCAUCACCAUCUUUACCAAUACCACCAUCACUGUCGCUGCCACCGUAAUCAUCACCAUCAGCAUCACCACCACCACCACCACCAUUGCCACCACCAUCAGCACCACCACCAUCACCCCACACACACUUACUUACAAAUAAAAAUGUUUAAAUAUGCAUA